rnacentral:tRNA from 1 species
AGUUAUUUAGCUUAUAAAAAGCAAUUAUUUUGAAAAUAAAAGAAAGAAUAAAAUUUAUUAACUU